rnacentral:rRNA from 1 species
CGCUGGCGGCGUGCCUAACACAUGCAAGUCGAACGGGUAACUCCUUCGGGGGUUACUUAGUGGCGAACGGGUGAGUAACGCGUGAGGAACCUGCCUCUCAGUGGGGACAACAGUUGGAAACGACUGCUAAUACCGCAUAACAUACACGGACCGCAUGAUCUGUGUAUCAAAGCUUUAUGUGCUGAAAGAUGGUCUCGCGUCUGAUUAGCUAGUUGGUGAGGUAACGGCCCACCAAGGCGACGAUCAGUAGCCGGACUGAGAGGUUGAACGGCCACACUGGGACUGAGACACGGCCCAGACUCCUACGGGAGACAGCAGUUAGGAAUAUUCGGCAAUGGGCGAAAGCCUGACCGAGCAAUGCCGCGUGUGAGAUGAAGGUCCUUUGGAUUGUAAACCUUUGUUGACAGGGACGAUAAUGACGGUACCUGUCGAGGAAGCCACGGCUAACUACGUG